UAGGGAAUAUUGGGCAAUGGAGGAAACUCUGACCCAGCCAUGCCGCGUGAAGGAUGAAUGUCCUAUGGAUUGUAAACUUCUUUUAUCAGGGAAGAAACGUCCCGAUUUAUCGGGAUCUGACGGUACCUGAGGAAUAAGCACCGGCUAACUCCGUGCCAGCAGCCGCGGUAAUACGGAGGGUGCAAGCGUUAUCCGGAUUCACUGGGUUUAAAGGGUGCGUAGGUGGAUCAAUAAGUCAGUGGUGAAAGCCCCGAGCUCAACUUGGGAAUUGCCAUUGAUACUGUUGGUCUUGAGUGCGGUUGAGGUAGGCGGAAUGUUGCAUGUAGCGGUGAAAUGCUUAGAUAUGCAACAGAACACCGAUUGCGAAGGCAGCUUACCAAGCCGUAACUGACACUGAGGCACGAAAGCGUGGGGAUCAAACAGGAUUAGAUACCCCCGUAGUCC
rnacentral:rRNA from 1 species